CAGCAAUCAUGUCAUCCUAGUCAUGACCCAGCUCUGAUCAGGAUUAUCACUACAAAAAUUUAACAAGCGUUCAGCACAUCUCACUGCAGCAGGAAACAACCUCUGAGACAAAGAUCGCCAUCUCUCUGCUGUCCUGCCAACACAGUGACAGCAACGGGACACUCAAAAAACUGCGUGGAAAUGUAACACUGAAGAAAAAUGUUCAUCACAGCAUACUAAUAAUAGAAUGAUUGAUAGGAGUAUUUAUGUUGGAAAACACCCUUGAGAUCAUCAAGUCCAAUCAUCAACCUACCACUGCCUAGCCCACCACCUAACCGAGUACCUAAUCAUCACACCCACAUCCCUCUGAAACAUCACCAGGGAUGGUGAUUCCACCAUUGGGUUCACAGCUUCAUGAAGAAUAGCCUUCAACAUUCACUGUGACCACAGCCCAGGUUCAGAGGCUUCCCUUAAUGUGUGCCCCAGAGCUGAGCAUCUGUGCUAGCAUCUGGAGAUGAGACCUGCACUCCUAGAGACCUCUCAGCAGCUCUGCAGUGCUUUGGAUCAGGAUGCUGCUUGGGCAGGCAGUGCUUUAGGCAUUACCAAAAAGUCCAGGACUUCUAGCACUGGUGGGGAUCUUGUCACUGAGCAAUACCAGCUGAGAGAGCACUUUGCCUGCUGUAUCAGCUAUUCACCUCACCCAGUGGAUGGAGGACUGUUCUUCAGAGGCUCAGCCUUAUUUGCAUCUGGUUCCUCUCAUCAGACUGCUAUGUUCAGUAGCCUUCAGCUACAAAGAUUAUAAAAUCCGGAUGGCUAGGAAAUAAGCACCACCACAAGUAAACAAUAAAGACAUGAAUCGGGAAUAUGAUCCUGCACUGGACACGCUAAGUAUCUUCUCCAGAGGAAAGCCCUCCAGCUUGGAAUCUGCAGAAUUCUUUUGGUUAAAAGAACUUGACCUCAAGCGUCUCUUUUUCUCCAGGUUGUACUGUCAGGAUUUAGUUUCACAGACCAUUCACUACUUUGUAUGCUCCUCACAGAUAUCACCUUGGAAGGAGAUUUAUCUCUCUCUACAGAGAGAGAAACGCAAGCUGCUUCAAUUCUAUCUAGUUGUCAUACUAUAUGUAUCCUGAACUGUCACUUCAGUCCACUUCCUGUUCCAUCAAAUAGCUUCAAAGCAGGUGAUACACAGAUGGUCAAGGAGGAAAGCACUUCAGGGCAAAGUGUGUUCUGAGCUAUACUUUUAAAUGAGCAGUAACUUUUCAUUUCAUUGCAGUAACACUGGUUUCUAUACCACUAUAGUUAUCUAUCACUUUAUUGUCCUCUUCCAUCAGAGAGAUUUGUAGACAUUUAGUAUUUAGAGACUUUGUCAUGCUGAAAAAUAAACCUACUACCCAACGUUUUACUAGGUAUAAUUGAUUUGAAAUGCAACUUAUCAAUUUGCUUAUCACUGGACUAUACCCUUUUCAAUUACACCAUUUCUUUGCAAACCAAUUAAACUGUUAAUGGAUAUUACUAUUGUCAAAUUACAAGCUUUUUUUUACAUACAAAUAGCAAGGAUGAGAAGAUCCAGAAUAAUAGAAAAUAGCAAGUUUUCAGUCUCAGAUUACUUUUUGUUUCCUUUUAAGAGGACUAUACUAUGCUGGCUGAGAGUCGCAAGAAAAUACGCACGCAUAUAUUUUAUUAAUGAUAGCAUCAUUCUCGUGUGCUCUGAAAUUAGGACACUUUCUCAAACAAAAGCUGUACAACCAAGUAAUAACGGGACUCUUGGGUGUGCCUCAGAAGCUAGAGCUAGAAUUCUUCAAAGCCUUCACCCUUCUAGUUUAUUUGCUUGCUUGCACAUAUGGAAAUGUAUGUAUGCAAUUGUAUUUGUACAUUUGCAGAUAUCUGACAGGCUGUUUUUCCAUAUUGCACAAAAACACAGCCACAGCCAAAAGAAUCUGAAGCCUGACUUCUGUUAUGCUGUGUGGCAGCUGUGAAGCACAGACCUGGAAAUCCAGCAGUUCUACUGCUGCAGGACCUCAUGCAGAUCUCUUUUUUUGCCCUUGUAAAGGGAGCAAGGAGAG